UACGUAGGGGGCGAGCGUUAUCCGGAAUUAUUGGGCGUAAAGGGUGCGUAGGUGGUUUUUUAAGCGCAGGGUCUAAUGCACAGGCUUAACUUGUGUCCGCCUUGCGAACUGAAGGACUUGAGUGCAGGAGAGGAAAGCGGAAUUCCUAGUGUAGCGGUGAAAUGCGUAGAUAUUAGGAGGAACACCGGCGGCGAAGGCGGCUUUCUGGACUGUAACUGACACUGAGGCACGAAAGCGUGGGUAGCAAACAGG
rnacentral:rRNA from 1 species